rnacentral:lncRNA from 1 species
GAACCCUGGAAUUCUGGGAGUCCUAGAUAACCUUAGAACUGAUUCCCUUCCCUCUUCUCCCACUCCCAUCCUCGCCUGGCCAAAGAGGGAUCUUCUUGGUGUUAAGUGAAUUGCAAAUAUGGUUGUUCCUCUGCAUAAAUAAGCCCCAAGCCCAGACGUCCAAUUAUCUGAGCGCUCCCUGACUCAGUGGCAGCCUGACUCAUUCGGAGGACACAGCAUCAGCAGUCGGAUAGAAAGAUCACUGGGGUUGGAGUCAGGAGGCCCGAGCUCUCGGCUUGCUUUGCCAGGAGCUUGCCAAGCUGCUGUGGAAAGGAAACCAAGGCGAUGUCCAUGUUACAGUGGUUCUCAAUUGGGACUGACCACCAAAGAAGCAGAGGAUCUAGAGGAUCUAGAAGCCAUAGUACCUAAUAAUGACGGAUCCCAUUUCCAAAAUAAUUCACAAUUUAUAAUGUCCUUUCCUCCCAACAAACUUGUACAAGUAUCAUUCUUUCCAUUUCGAUGUUGAGUCAACAAGAGAACAAGAAAGAGAUGUACCCUGGGC